AUUGAACGCUGGCGGAAUGCUUUACACAUGCAAGUCGAACGGCAGCACGGGUGCUUGCACCUGGUGGCGAGUGGCGAACGGGUGAGUAAUACAUCGGAACGUACCUUAUCGUGGGGGAUAACGCAGCGAAAGUUGCGCUAAUACCGCAUACGCCCUGAGGGGGAAAGCGGGGGACCGUAAGGCCUCGCGCGAUUAGAGCGGCCGACGUCUGAUUAGCUUGUUGGUGAGGUAAAAGCUCACCAAGGCGAUGAUCAGUAGCUGGUCUGAGAGGACGAUCAGCCACACUGGGACUGAGACACGGCCCAGACUCCUACGGGAGGCAGCAGUGGGGAAUUUUGGACAAUGGGGGCAACCCUGAUCCAGCAAUGCCGCGUGAGUGAAGAAGGCCUUCGGGUCGUAAAGCUCUUUUGUCAGGGAAGAAACAGCAGCUCUAACACAGUCUGCGAAUGACGGUACCUGAAGAAUAAGCACCGGCUAACUACGUGCCAGCCGCCGCAGUAA
rnacentral:rRNA from 1 species